GAUCAUGGCUCAGGAUGAACGCUGGCGGCGCGCCUAACACAUGCAAGUCGAACGGCACCCACCCUCGGGUGGUAAGCGAGUGGCGAACGGCUGAGUAACACGUGGAGAACCUGCCCCCUCCCCGGGAUAGCCGCCCGAAAGGACGGGUAAUACCGGAUACCCCGGGGUGCCGCAUGGCACCCCGGCUAAAGCCCCGACGGGAGGGGAUGGCUCCGCGGCCCAUCAGGUAGACGGCGGGUGACGGCCACCGUGCCGACACGGGU
rnacentral:rRNA from 1 species